AUGGCUGCAGAUGCAUGCGUGAGACGGACGGGAGUGCCGCCGAGGGAAAUCAUCACCCUACAGUUGGGCUAGUGCGGCAAUCAGAUUGGGUUCGAGUUCUGGAAACAGCUGUGCACUGAGCAUGGUAUCAGCCCUGAGGGUACUGUGGCGGAGUUCGCCAUCAAGGGCACUGACAACAAGGACAUCUUUUUCUAACAGGCAAAAGAUGAGCACUAUAUCCCCUGGGCCGUGCUGCUGGACCUGGAGCCCCAGGUGACCCACUCCAUCCUCAACUCCCCCUAUCCCAAGCUCUACAACCCAGAGAACAUCUACCUGUCAGAGCAUGGAGGAGGAGCUGGCAACAACUGGGCCAGCAGAUUCUCCCAGAGAGAGAAGCUCCAUGAGGACAUUUUUAACAUCAUAGACUGAGAGGCAGAUGGUAGUGACAAUCUAGAUGGCUUUGUGCUGUGUCAGUCCAUUGCUGGGGGGACAGGCUCUGGCCUCGGCUCCUACCUCUUAGAAUGGCUGAAUGACAGGUAUCCUAAGAAGCUGGUGCAGACAUAUUCAAUGUUUCUCAACCAGGAUGAGAUGAGCGACGUGGUGAUCCAGCUUUAUAAUUCACUCCUCACACUCAAGAGGCUGAUGCAGAAUGCAGACUGUGUGGUGGUGCUGCACAACACAGCCCUGAACCAGACUGCCACAGACCCCCUGCACAUCCAGAACCCAUCCUUCUCUCAGACCAACCAGCUGGUGUCCACCAUCAUGUCAGCCAGCACCUUCACCCUGCACUAGCCCGGCUACAUGAACAAUGACCUCAUCAGCCUCAUCGCCUCACUCAUUCCCACCCCAUGGCUCCACUUUCUCAUGACCGGCUACACCCUGCUAUCUAUGGACCAGUCAGUGGCCAUCACCCAAGAACAUGAUGGUGUCCACAGGCCGAGACCGCCACACCAACCACUCCUACAUCACCAUUCUCAACACCAUCCAGGGAGAUGUGAACCCCACCCAGGUCCACAAGAACCUGCAGAGGAUCCGGAAACGGAAGUUGGCCAACUUUAUCCUGUGGGGCCCCACCAGCAUCCAGGUGGCCCUGUCGAGGAAGUCUCCUUACCUGCCCUUGGUCCACUGGGUCAGUGGGCUCAUGAUGGCCAACCACACCAGCAUCUCCUCACUCUUCGAGAGAACCUGUCACCAAUAUAAGCUGCAGAAGAGGGAGGCCUUCCUGGAGCUAUUCCGCAAGGAGGACAUGUUCAAGGACAACUUUGAUGAGAUGGACACAUCCAGGGAGAUUGUGCAGCAGCUCAUGGAUGAGUACCACAUGGCCACAUGGCCAGAUUACAUCUCCUGGGGCACCCAGGAGCAGUGAGUCCCCCAGGAUAGGGACCCUCAUCUGCCUUACUGUUUGGCCAAGGCCCUGCCUGACUGACCACUCCCUUAGAGCACAGAUCAGGGACCUCACACAUCUCUUUCUCAUAUACAUGCAUUCUCUGUUGGCCUACGAACACAUUACUUCUCUUAUGAGACUAUUUGUCUUUAAUAAAGCACUGGAUAUAAAU